rnacentral:rRNA from 1 species
CCUACGGGGUGCUGCAGUGAGGAAUAUUGGGCAAUGGGCGUAAGCCUGAACCAGCCAAGUCGCGUGAGGGAUGAAGGUUCUAUGGAUCGUAAACCUCUUUUAUAAGGGAAUAAAGUGUGGGACGUGUCCUAUUUUGUAUGUACCUUAUGAAUAAGGAUCGGCUAACUCCGUGCCAGUAGCCGCGGUAAUACGGAGGGUCCGAGCGUUAUCCGGAUUUAUUGGGUUUAAAGGGUGCGUAGGCGGCCUUGUAAGUCAGCGGUGAAAGUCUUUGGCUCAACCAUAGAAUUGCCGUUGAAACUGGGGGGCUUGAGUAUGUGUGAGGCAGGUGGAAUGCGUGGUGUAGCGGUGAAAUGCUUAGAUAUCACGCAGAACCCCGAUUGCGAAGGCAGCCUGCCAAGCCAUGACUGACGCUGAUGCACGAAAGCGUGGGGAUCAAACAGGAUUAGAUACCCUAGUAGUC